UACGGAGGGUGCAAGCGUUAUCCGGAUUUACUGGGUUUAAAGGGUGUGUAGGCGGGCUUUUAAGUCUGGGGUGAAAUCUCCGAGCUCAACUCGGAAACUGCCUUGGAUACUAUUAGUCUUGAAUUAUGUUGAGGUUGGCGGAAUAUAACAUGUAGCGGUGAAAUGCAUAGAUAUGUUAUAGAACACCGAUUGCGAAGGCAGCUAACUAAGCAUAUAUUGACUCUGAGGCACGAAAGCGUGGGGAUCAAACAGG
rnacentral:rRNA from 1 species